rfam:Salmo salar isolate Sally breed double haploid chromosome ssa26, whole genome shotgun sequence.
UGGCUCAGUUGGUAGAGCAUGGUGUUUGCAACGCCAGGGUUGUGGGUUCGAUUCACAC